AAAGUCGUAACAAGGUUUCCGUAGGUGAACCUGCGGAAGGAUCAUUACCGAGUUAGGGUUCGUCCAACGAGCCCGACCUCCCAACCCUUUGUCUAUUUUACCUUUGUCGUUGCUUCGGCGGACCGGUCGCGACCAACUGGUCGUGGCCGCCGGGGGUCCACCUCCUGGAGAGCGUCCGCCGAUGGCCCAACCACAAACUCUUGUACCAAACCAUGUCGUCUGAAUUACUUGAUUAAAAUCAAAAAACAAAACUUUCAACAACGGAUCUCUUGGUUCUG
rnacentral:misc_RNA from 1 species